rnacentral:lncRNA from 1 species
UUUUGGCUACAUCAGAAAUUCAUUUCAAACUAGCAUGAUCACCACCGCGUUUGACACGUGCCCUAUCUCCGGAAAGAUAGAAUAAGAAUUUGUAUUGUAUGUUUACAUAUCACACCUCCCAUCACAGCGCAAUCCCAAAAUUAGCGUCUCUGCUAUGACUAGGUGCGAGUCUCACGAACCAACCACUCGACACUCGCACGUGAACCCAGACUACGGCCAUAGGGUAUGCCCUCUCUACAACUAUACAUACAUUAUUAUUUUUCACUACGGGCACAUCCAAUGCAAGGACUCUUACCUGACGACGGUAUUAAAAGAUGAUGGGUUUUAUAUCCUGUGCUAGCAUACGCAAACGCAAACAACAGAUCUCAGACGCUUGACAACAAAACCCACGGGCGAAUUGCUCCGAGCAUCAUCCUCCAACUCAAGCAACAAUGCCGAAACUGAGACUGGGAGCGAAGCCUGCACGGGCCAAACAGCUCCUGGCGCCUGUACUUGCCACAAAAUUGGACAUGGCCCGAGACGUCUUCAUAAACUGUGUAACCUGUACGAUUUGCAUAUAGGAGGUGUUUGUUUCGUCAAAUUCUGCCCGUCACCUGUUUACAGUGUAAACCGAUACCGUUACGUGUGUUUGGUGAGACAACUCUGUAAUCACGUUCCUCUGUAAUCAGUUCCAGGCCAUCUAUCGAACGAUACCCUCACCCCCCAGCGGUAAAGGCUUCCUUACCGCUCGACUCUGCCCCUCACCCGCGACUCGCUCCUCCCCUCGAUCCGUCCCGCGCCGCCGCCUCCCUUCCAGUACAGCGACGCCGCGCCGCCGCCUCCCUUCCAGGCCAGCAAUGCCGCGCCGCCGCCUCCCCUCGACCCCCUUCGGUCCUCUCCUCCUCGUCCAGCCGCCGGGUUGACCUCGCCGCAUUAGUCGCCGGGAACGACCACGCCAGCCGCCUCCGACGCCGAUGAGGGUGGACCAUUGAAGCCGCGUACGAGGAGCACAAAGGCCCAUCUGCCCAUCUCCGGAUCGAUCUCUUCCUCCAUCAGUCUCCUACUACAGAUCUGAAGGUUAGGGUUACUAGUCCAUCUGUUCGCGAUCUUGAAGUAAAAAAAUAUGUGUGCUUGAUCUGUUCUUGAUCUACUAAUGAUCUGUUAUAGGUUGAUGUCUAGCAUAUAUUUCCAUUUGUUCUUGAUCUUGAAGUAAAAAAAUGUGUGACUUGAUCAGUUCUUGAUCUACUAAUGAUCUGUUAUAGGUUGAUGUCUAGCAUAUAUUUCCAUCUGUUCUUGAUCUUGAAGUAAAAAAAAUAUGUGUUCUUGAUAUAUUAAUGAUCUGUUAUAGGUUGAUGUCUAUUAAUGAUCUAUUCUUGAUCUUGAAGUAGAAAGAUAUGUGUUCUUGAUCUGUUCUUUUAUUAGUGAUGACUAGUGGAGUAUAAUUGGUGGUCUGUCCUUUGUAUUUUUCUGAUGUGUUCAUCAUCUGCCUAGUUAGGUAACUAGGCAAAUAGAUGAAUUAGGUUGGCUGGUCACAAAAAGGAAGGAAGGUGUCUUGUUCGAUGCAUGUUCCUGUUGACAAUUGGACCAUCUUCUUUAGCUUUCUGAUGUGAAAUCAUAUCCAGAUACUUGGAACUUUGCAUGACCAGUAGAUCGACGGUGAUAUCCACAUAUCAACUAGAUAUUUGUUGACUGUUCCUCUAGUUUUUUGAUAUGCAAUUUUCCUAUCCAUAUGCAGCAGUUGUAUUUGUAUAUGACUUAAUUAGGCUUCUGAUGUGCAAGUUUUUUUGAAUCCAUUGUACCUUUGCAUGACAAAUGCAUGUGCAAGUUUUUUCAUCAUCCUAAAAUCUAUCCAGUUUCUUGUUUUGUACUACCACCAAUUUUUAGGAAAGAAAGUCAUACCAACCUUAAAUAGGUAUAUUUUCCUUAUGCAGUUAUGGCUCGUCUUCCUUUAAGUGCGAGGCGUGGAAGGAGAAAUGCAAUAUUUUUUAAUCUGACCACUUCCAUUAUGCUUGUAUACUAUUAUGUGUGGUUCAUGUUUGCAUUAGCUUAUAGGAGAAAAUGUUGGCAAAUAGAAAGGAGAAUUAAAAUUAGAGAGUUAAGGGGAGAGAACUUGUAUCGACUAAUUGGUGAGAGCGACGCUAUGUGUAUAAGUCAACUUCGUAUGGAUAGGAGAACAUUUCAUAUAUUAUGUGAGAUGGUGAGAGAUGUUGGUGGUCUAAAGGGUACAAGGAACACAUCAUUAGAGGAGAUAGUGGCAUCAUUCUUGUAUGUUUUAUCACACCAUCUCAAAAAUAGGACAGUAGGAAAAUUCUUCUAUCGAAGCCCUGAGCCAAUUAGUAGAAACUUCAACGCUUGUCUUCUAGCUGUCUUGAAGCUGCACCAUGUGCUACUUAAGAAGCCUGAACCUAUACCCGAGGAUUGCACCGAUGAUAAGUGGAAGUAUUUCAAGGUAAAUAGCUACUAAUAAAAAAUAUUAUUCACUAGAUGAUCUCAAUAGUGGUAAAAGAUGCUAAUAUUUGCACAUUGCUCUUUAUGUUGUAGAAUUGCCUUGGAGCAUUAGAUGGCACACACAUAGUCGUAACGGUCCCAGCUAAUUUGAAAGGAAGGUAUCGAUCAAGGUUGGGUGAUAUAGAUACAAAUGUGUUAGGUGUAUGUGCACCUGACAUGCAAUUCAUCUACAUAUUACCCGGUUGGGAAGAUUCUGCACAUGAUGGUCGGGUUCUUAGGGAUGCCAUCUCACGGCCAAAUGGGUUGCGUGUCCCCGAAGGCCAAUAUUAUCUUGUCGAUGCUGGCUACACAAACGCAAAAGGAUUUUUAGCUCCAUAUCGAGGUCAAAGGUAUCACUUGGGUGGUUGGACACCACAAAAUCCACCUCGUAGCGCAGAAGAAUAUCUCAACAUGCGCCACGCUAGAGCCCGAAAUAUAGUAGAAAGGUGCUUUGGAAGGCUGAAGGGUCGGUGGGGGAUUUUGAGGUCUCCUUCCUUUUUUCCCAUGAAGACUCAAUGUCGAAUCAUCAUGGCAUGCGCACUCUUGCAUAAUCUUAUAUUGCAAAAGAUGUCUGUCGACCCACUUGAUAUCAACGAGCCAAUAAUACAAGAUACAUUAGAAGACAUGGAGGAAGAAUUGGAACAACCAGAAUUCAUCACUUCUAUCUCAACUUUGAAUGAGUGGACAAUUUUUCGGAAUGAACUUGCUCAGGGCAUGUAUAAUAGACAUAGGGCUGCUAGGGCGCAUUGAGGUAUAAGUUAUUUCUAUUUGUUCCCUUCUAUAUAUAUUUCCAUCUCAUUUACAUUUGUUUCCUUUCAAUUAUAUUUGCAAGCUACAAUUGCAUCUCGUUUGCAUUUGUUCUCUUUCAUGUAUAUUUGCCAUCUCAUUUGUACCCAUUCUUGCUUGUGCAGAUAUGGACCGUGUGGAUAGCUCGAGCACGUCUCGUGGAAGAGGCAAGAAUAAAAGGAAUUGGUCUUCCGAUGAGGACGAUGAGCUUAUUAAAGCUUUGUAUGAGUUAUCUUUGGACCCGAGGUGGAAAGCUGAUGGUGCCUUCAAGGGUGGAUACCUGGGGAUAUUGGAAAAGCAUCUUGCUGAAAAGUGUCCAGGCCGUGGUAUCACUGCAUCUCCGCACAUUGAAUCAAGAGUGAGGCACUUCAGGAAGAAAUUUGGUGCCGUUGAAGUAAUGCUAUCCAAAAGUGGUUUCACAUGGGAUGGAAGUCGAAAGAUGAUUCAGUGCGAGAAGGCACAAUAUGAAGCUCAUUGUCAGGUAGAUCACUUGAACCACUAAAACUGAAUACCUUAGUAAUGCUUUGUGCUGAAUUUCCUUGCUAUCGAAAGUAGUACCGUUUCUAUCCCUUGUUACUAUCCUUGCUAUCGAAAACCAACAUUCUUCUUUUGUAAAAAAACAUGUAGAUUCACAAGGAGGCUAAGGGAUUGUAUGGUGUAUCAUUUCCAUACUUUGAACAAUUGGCUGCUAUCUAUGGCAAAGACAUUGCAACAGGAGAAAGUGCGGAAGGCUUUGGAGAGGCAGUGGGAAACUUGGAGAAGGAAAUUGCUAUGGAGGAAGAAGAAAAUGAGGAAGAGGACAUGAUCUCAACAGGAACAGCUCGACGGUCCAUUGACACUUGCUCUAUUGAUACAACUAGUUCGAAGAGGCAGAAAAAGGAGCCAAGGCCAAAGAGGGCGACGGGACCAAGCGAUCCAUUUGCAGCCAUGCUUCAAGAUGUUAAUAGCCAGCUGAACAGCGUGACACAACAUGUGGGUGCAAUGACAACAUCAUUUACAGCAGCAAUGGCGCGAGAAGCAGCACAAGAAGACCCUCAACAGAAAUCAAGAGAAAAUGCAAUUAGUGAAUUGUCUAGGCUUGCAUUUACUGGGAGCGAGAUCGUUGAAGCUGCAACUAUAUUCGCUAAAGCUCCAGAGCACAUGAACAUGAUGCUUGUGCUUCCAGGCAUUCUGAGGAGGGACUUCGUCCUGAAAAUGCUGUCCGGUAUCCCUUUUUCUAAACUCUCUUUAAUAAUAUGCACUAUCUUGUGAUGCAGUUUUUGUUUUAGCGAAAAUGUUCAGCAACUCAUGUGUGACCACAUUUUUCUAAUAAGUGAUAUCUAGACUGCCAUAUAAAUCUGUUUCCACGGCGUUCGCUUUCACUAACACUGUCCUCCAAACUUUGGUCAAUUGGUCCUCUCCCAAACUUGUUUGCCGCUGUUAUAAACCUUAACUAGUCUUGAUUACUACCAGCGACCCGCAAGCUAGAUCUUGAUUAAUACUACUACCCACAGAAUAUUACUACUGCUACCAUAGCUAGCUCCUGGUACAUGUGCAACUGCAACAGGCUAAUUAACAUUUCUCCACCGUCAACUUUGCACGGUUUGCAGUAACACAACAUGUAUUACUGUAGUUAACUCUUUGCAAAAACAAAGAGCUCUUGAUAUGUGUUUUUGGCUGGUCAUAUAUAAGCCAAACUUGUGCUGAAGUUUUUUUCCUUGUAUCUAACUCCUGCUUAUUGGCUCCUCAUUGGCAGAUGAAAGAAAGAAGCAAGGUUGAUGGGAAAGAAGGUCCUUCUCUAGUAAUGGUGUGACAUAACUGGUGUGUACAAAACCCACCUCAUUUUACUAUUGUUAUAUAUUUGUCAAAAGUGUUGAAAAGCAUGGAGUAGACCUCAUCCUUUCCACCAUAUUUUAGUAUAUGUUCUUGUACUAUACAUCAUUGUAGUCUGUGUUAGCUAAGAGAGUGCUUUUCAUUUCAUUGGUCUUGCAGUAUACAUCAUUUUCCUAUUGUUAUCUUUGUCAAAGUGUUGAAAUGCAUGGAGCAGAUUCCCACCUUUUCCUUCGUCAAAGUGUUGAUGAGAAAGAACAAUCAUGUUAUAGUUGCUAUUAUUAUUUUUAUUAUUGGUUGUUGCUUGUGUGUUUCUUUAUCCUCAUUUUAACUCGUGCUUAUUGGCAGAUGAGAAAAUAAGCAAGGUUCAUUAGAAAAUGGGAUCAGUGGUGUGGCGUGGAAGAUGAAGAUGAAUGGAAAAGCUUCUUUGCAAGAUUGUGAACUUGGCCUUUCUAUUUAUCCUAUAAUAUAAAAACAAUUUUAGGGACUAAUUAUGUAGUUUAUUUCGAAGUGUCGUUGAAUUCCGAGUUCGUAUCAUUUUCAUUUUAAAAAUGUGUAAUGUCGUUAAAGUGGAGCCAAAUUCUGGUUAAAAGAUGUCUUUGCAUUGGAUGAAUGCAAAAAUAUUUCUAAAUUGUGUGCUUGUUUGAUGCAUGUGAAUGCCCAUGUUGUGUUCUGUACUGUGAAAGGAGCCUGUUACUGUGUCAAACCAAACACUGUUUAGGUACCUGUUUCCUUUACACUGUAGAACCAAACAAAAUGGGGUUUGUCCAGUCCGGUGCUGUUACAGUCUGUAAACAGUUCCCAUUUACGUUUACGUUACCACUGGACGAAACAAACACCUCCAUAGUGUACAGCAGUGAUAUUACACACAGAGAACGUACGAAGAUAACAGUUUCACAGCAAAUUCAGAAGCAGGUCAUAAAACCCCGGUACGUAACCCUAACGUUGCUGCUUCUUCCUAUGGUCCUGAAAUCUCUAGUGUACACCAACACCACAAAAAAUCACGGCUUUUUACUGUCCGGAGGAGGAACCUUAACGCCCAUAAGUCCAAGCAGGUUCGAGGCCGGGCCAGGAAGGCCCUGCUGAGAUGAGUACGAGUUAAGGAAGCUCUCCACAAGGUUCAAGUUCACAUCAACUGGGGCCAUCUCCCCAUCAUCACUAUCGGCAGCAUUCGAGGGACC